rnacentral:rRNA from 1 species
AGAGUUUGAUCAUGGCUCAGGACGAACGCUGGCGGCGUGCCUAACACAUGCAAGUCGAACGGAGAUGUUUAUUUCGGUAGACAUCUUAGUGGCGCACGGGUGAGUAACGCGUGAAUAACCUGACCCGAAGAGGGGGAUAACACCUGGAAACAAGUGCUAAUACCGCAUAAGACCACGGACCGGCAUCGGUCAGAGGUCAAAGGAGGAAUCCGCUUUGGGAGGGGUUCGCGUCCCAUUAGGUAGUUGGUGAGGUAACGGCCCACCAAGCCGACGAUGGGUAGCCGAGCUGAGAGGCUGAUCGGCCACACUGGAACUGAGACACGGUCCAGACUCCUACGGGAGGUAGCA